rnacentral:rRNA from 1 species
CUACGGGUUGCUGCAGUGGGGAAUAUUGCACAAUGGGCGCAAGCCUGAUGCAGCCAUGCCGCGUGUAUGAAGAAGGCCUUCGGGUUGUAAAGUACUUUCAGCGGGGAGGAAGGGAGUAAAGUUAAUACCUUUGCUCAUUGACGUUACCCGCAGAAGAAGCACCGGCUAACUCCGUGCGCAGCAGCCGCGGUAAUACGGAGGGUGCAAGCGGUAAUCGGAAUUACUGGGCGUAAAGCGCACGCAGGCGGUUUGUUAAGUCAGAUGUGAAAUCCCCGGGCUCAACCUGGGAACUGCAUCUGAUACUGGCAAGCUUGAGUCUCGUAGAGGGGGGUAGAAUUCCAGGUGUAGCGGUGAUAUGCGUAGAGAUCUGGAGGAAUACCGGUGGCGAAGGCGGCCCCCUGGACGAAGACUGACGCUCAGGUGCGAAAGCGUGGGGAGCAAACAGGAUUAGAUACCCGAGUAGUC